rnacentral:rRNA from 1 species
AAGGAUUGACGGACUGAAGGCUCUUUCUCGAUUCCGUGGAAAGUGGUGCAUGGCCGUUUUUGGUUGGUGGAUCGAUCCGUCUGGUUAAUUCCGUUAACGAACGAGACCUCGGCACUCCGAAUAGCGCGGCGGACGUCGCGGCCUCCGGGGCCGUCUUCCGCACGAGCUUCUUAGAGGGACCGUCCCCCGCCGGGGAAGGAGGUGCGAGGCAACGACAGGUCUGUGAUGCCCUUAGAUGUUCUGGGCCGCACGCGCAUUACACUGACGCGUCCAACGGGUGACUCCCGACCCGAAGGGGCCGGGGAAUCCGCAAGGCGCGUCGUGAUGGGGAUUGAACGUUGCAAUUGUUGUUCACGAACGAGGAAUUCCUAGUAGGCGCGGGUCAUCAACCCGACGCCGAUUACGUCCCCUGCCA